rnacentral:rRNA from 1 species
GCUGAUUUGACGUCAUCCCCACCUUCCUCACAUCUUACGACGGCAGUCUCUCUAGAGUCCUCAGCAUAACCUGUUAGUAACUAAAGAUAAGGGUUGCGCUCGUUAUGGCACUUAAGCCGACACCUCACGGCACGAGCUGACGACAACCAUGCAGCACCUUCACAACAGCCUUACGGCUAUACUGUUUCCAAUAUAUUCUGUUGCAAUUUAAGCCCGGGUAAGGUUCCUCGCGUAUCAUCGAAUUAAACCACAUGUUCCUCCGCUUGUGCGGGCCCCCGUCAAUUCCUUUGAGUUUCACCGUUGCCGGCGUACUCCCCAGGUGGAAUACUUAAUGCUUUCGCUUGGCCGCUUACUGUAUAUCGCAAACAGCGAGUAUUCAUCGUUUACUGUGUGGACUACCAGGGUAUCUAAUCCUGUUUGAUACCCACACUUUCGAGCAUCAGUGUCAGUAACAGUCUAGUGAGCUGCCUUCGCAAUCGGAGUUCUUCGUGAUAUCUAAGCAUUUCACCGCUACACCACGAAUUCCGCCCACCUCUACUGUACUCAAGACUGCCAGUUUCAACUGCAAUUUUACGGUUGAGCCGCAAACUUUCACAACUGACUUAACNAAUCCACCUACGCUCCCUUUAAACCCAAUAAAUCCGGAUAACGCUCGGAUCCUCCGUAUUACCGCGGCUGCUGGCACGGAGUUAGCCGAUCCUUAUUCAUAUGGUACAUACAAAAUUCCACACGUGGAAAACUUUAUUCCCAUAUAAAAGAAGUUUACGACCCAUAGAGCCUUCAUCCUUCACGCUACUUGGCUGGUUCAGGCUCUCGCCCAUUGACCAAUAUUCCUCACUGCUGCCUCCCGUAGGAGUUUGGACCGUGUCUCAGUUCCAAUGUGGGGGACCUUCCUCUCAGAACCCCUAUCCAUCGUAGUCUUGGUGGGCCGUUACCCCGCCAACAAACUAAUGGAACGCAUCCCCAUCGAUAACCGA